CCUACGGGAGGCAGCAGUGAGGAAUAUUGGUCAAUGGCCGAGAGGCUGAACCAGCCAAGUCGCGUGAGGGACGAAUGUCCUAUGGAUUGUAAACCUCUUUUGUCAGGGAGCAAAGUCACCCACGUGUGGGUGUUGGAGAGUACCUGAAGAAAAAGCAUCGGCUAACUCCGUGCCAGCAGCCGCGGUAAUACGGAGGAUGCGAGCGUUAUACGGAUGUAGUGGGUUUAAAGGGUGCGGAGGGGGGGUAUAAAGUCAGCGGUAAAAUCGUGGAGCUAAACUCCAUCCAGCCGUUGAAACUGAUGAUCGUGAGUAGGAGAGAAGUAUGCGGAAUGCGUGGUGUAGCGGUGAAAUGCAUAGAUAUCACGCAGAACUCCGAUUGCGAAGGCAGCAUACCGGCGCCCGACUGACGCUGAAGCGCGAAAGCGUGGGUAGCGAACAGGAUUAGAUACCCUUGUAGUC
rnacentral:rRNA from 1 species